rnacentral:rRNA from 1 species
AACGAACGCUGGCGGCAGGCUUAACACAUGCAAGUCGAGCGAGACCUUCGGGUCUAGCGGCGGACGGGUGAGUAACGCGUGGGAACGUGCCCUUCUCUACGGAAUAGCCCCGGGAAACUGGGAGUAAUACCGUAUACGCCCUUUGGGGGAAAGAUUUAUCGGAGAAGGAUCGGCCCGCGUUGGAUUAGGUAGUUGGUGGGGUAAUGGCCCACCAAGCCGACGAUCCAUAGCUGGUUUGAGAGGAUGAUCCGCCACACUGGGACUGAGACACGGCCCAGACUCCUGCGGGAGGCAGCCGUGGGGAAUCUUAGACAAUGGGGGCAACCCUGAUCUAGCCAUGCCGCGUGAGUGAUGAAGGCCUUAGGGUUGUACAGCUCUUUCAGCUGGGAAGAUAAUGACGGUACCAGCAGAAGAAGCCCCGGCUAACUCCGUG